AUGGAGGGUGGACCUGGUUACCUGUUCCAUCGAAAGAACAAUGUGGGUUUCGCCUUGUUUCGGUGCGAUCGGAUUACCGACGGAGAUGAAAAUAUCUCAAGCCCUCCUCGAUUCCUUUCACUCCCCCACGACCCCGCCGCCGCCGCCUCCUCUCCUGCUGCCGCCGCCGCGCCACCACAGCCACCUCCUCUCAUCUCUGCCUUCUCUCCUGCUGCCCCCGCCGCGCCACCGCAGCUGCCUCCUCUCAUCUCUGCCUCUCCUGUUGCCCCCGCCGCGCCAGGGCCUCGCCUCGCCCUCAAGUGCACCGUCGACCUCCCAGACCUUGUUCUCCGCCUCGUCGCACUGACCAUCUUGAGCUCGAGCCGAGGAGCGGCCCGUGUCGCGUGGUGGCCAGAUGCGGCGGCCCCAUGCUCAAGCGCGGUGCUGCAAAAUGAUGGAUCUAUCACUUCUCUCCUCGUUCGGUCAGAAGGAGCAGUGAGACCGGAGCUGCGGAGAGCCGGAGUCAGGGACAAGAAGCAGCAGGGACCGGGCUUCCGCUGCAGUGGAGUGGAGCUGCAGGGAGAGGAAGGAAGCACCAGAAUUGUGCAGGAUGUCUGUGUGUGUGUGUUGUGCUUGGAGUGCAGUAGUACCAGGGCUCCUAUCGCUGCCAGUACCCCGACGGUGAAGGCCAUGGCGGUGGUCAACCUGCUGUUCUCAAUCUUUCAGAACUCCAGCUGCGUCGCUUGGUGCUUCUCGGCCAUUCUCUGUUCGGAGUCGGGGACAAGAAGCAGCAGGGACCGGGCUCCCGCUGCAGUGGAGUGGAGCUGCAGGGAGAGGAAGGAAGCCGGUGACAGAAGAAAAGAAGAUGCCGGCUCUGGUUCAUCAUGGAGAAACAGCUGCUCGCCCUCCUCCGCCUCUUCCCUAACCAUGGGUUCGUGUACCAAAUUAUGUAGCUUGCUUCUGAUCCAUGUGCUCAUCUCCGUUUCCAUGUCUUGUUUUUUUCAGAGACAAUGCCAACGAAUUGUCGGUCACGGGUACCGAGUCACUCUCAUUGAAGUUGUUACCUUUGUUUCUUUGUUAAACAACACUCUGCUGGUCUUGCUAUUCGCCAUUUUCCUCCCCACUAUAAUGCUGCCACUCUGUGAUGCCUCGGCAAGAAGGCCAAUCGCAGGGAGAUACGCCAUGGCAUGUCCUGAAGAGGCAAUCAGCCUCUGGUGGCUGCUGCAUGCAGAGCGGGUGCGCCAGUUCUUUGUUCCUCUCACUGGGCGGUUGUUUCAUUUUGUCUACAGCAAUGGGGUUGCUUCCUCUGCUCCGUUCGUGUGGUUGAUGUAUUUCGGUGGCCUCAAGCCCUCAACCCUCUGGAUCAUCCGUCCGCUGUGCGUGCUCUCAUCCGGGUUGCCGAGGGACGCCUCCUCCUGCGGCGCUCCUGUCCAAUUUUUUGUUUAUCUUCAGGUAUCUGCUUUAUGUGGAAAUAUGCCAAUGGAUAAUAUCCUCCGGAUUAACAAGUUCCUGUGUGCUGCUGCUCUUAUUAUCUACCUGGGUUUGUUUGUUUGGGCUGCCAUUUCCAUGGCUGAAGCUGAAGGAGCGGCUGUAGCUGGUAAUGAAGAGAGGCACUUUGCAUUUCUCCACCAGAAGUAUAGAUCGGUAAAGUACAGAGAAGCUUCAGAGCAUGGUAGCAUUGUUUAUGAGAAGAAUCCAGGACGGACUGACAACCUACUUCUUCUUGGAGUUAUCUACUGCCAGUUUAUGACUUGGUGCUAG
rnacentral:rRNA from 1 species